rnacentral:rRNA from 1 species
CACGGGGGGAGCAAGCGUUGUUCGGAAUCACUGGGCGUAAAGGGCGUGUAGGCGGUCAAGUAAGUGGAAUGUGAAAGCCCCCGGCUUACCCGGGGAUCUGCAUCCCAAACUGCUUGGCUUGAGUACGGGAGAGGAUAGGGGAAUUCCUGGUGUAGCGGUGAAAUGCGUAGAUAUCAGGAGGAACACCGGUGGCGAAGGCAAUCCCCUGGGCCUGCACUGACGCUCAUGCACGAAAGCGUGGGGAGCAAACAGG